GGACUACAGGGGUAUCUAAUCCUGUUUGCUCCCCACGCUUUCGCGCCUCAGCGUCAGUUAAUGUCCAGCAGGCCGCCUUCGCCACUGGUGUUCCUCCGUAUAUCUACGCAUUUCACCGCUACACACGGAAUUCCGCCUGCCUCUCCAUCACUCAAGAACUAUAGUUUCCACCGCAGUUUAGGGGUUGAGCCCCUAGAUUUCACGGCAGACUUACAGUCCCGCCUACGCGCCCUUUACACCCAGUAAAUCCGGAUAACGCUCGCCACCUACGUAUUACCGCGGCUGCUGGCAC
rnacentral:rRNA from 1 species